rnacentral:rRNA from 1 species
AUUGAACGCUGGCCGCAGGCCUAACACAUGACGUCGAGCGAGCGGCGGACGGGUGAGUAAUGUAUGGGGACUGCCCGAUAGAGGGGGAUAACUCCUGGAAACGGUGGCUAAUACCCCAUACUAUCGGCGAGCCCCCAUGGGAUUAGCUAUUGGGGGGGGUAAAGGCUCACCUAGUCGACGAUCUCUAGCUGGUCUGAGAGGAUGAUCAGCCACACUGGGACUGAGACACGGCCCAGACUCCUACGGAGGCAGCAGUGGGGAAUAUUGCACAAUGGGCGCAAGCCUGAUGCAGCCAUGCCGCGUGUAUGAAGAAGGCCUUAGGGUUGUAAAGUACUUUCAGCGGGGAGGCGUUACCCGCAGAAGAAGCACUGGCUAACUCCGUGCCAGCCGCCGCGGUAAUUC